GCAUGGAAGAGGAAGAAAAGAGGGUCUAAGAGCAAUUGGCAUGGGAACAUGGAGGAAGGCUAAUGAGGUGGAAAUCUAUUUGUCUUCCUGAUGCCUCCCAUGCCUAUUGUUCUUAGGUGCUCCUUCCUCUUCCUUUUGGAU
rnacentral:pre_miRNA from 1 species